AGGCAGCAGGCGCGCAAAUUACCCACUCUCGGCAAGAGGAGGUAGUGACGAAAAAUAACGAGACCGUACUCUUUGAGGCCGGUUAUCGGAAUGGGUACAAUUUAAACCCGUUAACGAGGAUCUAUGAGAGGGCAAGUCUGGUGCCAGCAGCCGCGGUAAUUCCAGCUCUCAAAGUGUAUAUCGUCAUUGCUGCGGUUAAAAAGCUCGUAGUUGGAUCUGCGCCUCAGGACUUGGUCCGCCCACUGGGCGAGAACUAGGCUCCUGGGCUAGUUCUGCUGGUUUUCUCUACGUUGCCUUCAUCGGUCGCGUAGGGUGGCUAGCGAGUUUACUUUGAAAAAAUUAGAGUGCUUCACGCGAGCUUAUGUCUGAAUACUCGUGCAUGGAAUAAUAGAAUAGGAUCUCGGUUCUAUUUUGUUGGUUUUCUGAUCUGAGAUAAUGGUUAAGAGGGACGGACGGGGGCAUUCGUAUCGCUGCGUGAGAGGUGAAAUUCUUGGACCGUAGCGAGACGCCCGACUGCGAAAGCAUUUGCCAAGAAUGUCUUCAUUAAUCAAGAACGAAAGUCAGAGGUUCGAAGGCGAUCAGAUACCGCCCUAGUUCUGACCGUAAACGAUACCAACUAGCGUUCCGUCGGCGGUAAAUACGCCUUGACGGGCAGCUUCCCGGAAACGAAAGUCUUUCGGUUCCGGGGGAAGUAUGGUUGCAAAGCUGAAACUUAAAGAAAUUGACGGAAGGGCACCACCAGGAGUGGAGCCUGCGGCUUAAUUUGACUCAACACGGGAAAACUCACCUGGCCCGGACACCGUGAGGAUUGACAGAUUGAGAGCUCUUUCUUGAUUCGGUGGUUGGUGGUGCAUGGCCGUUCUUAGUUGGUGGAGUGAUUUGUCUGGUUUAUUCCGAUAACGAGCGAGACUCUAGCCUACUAAAUAGUCAUCGGAUAAACCAGUCCGAAAGACUUCUUAGAGGGACAAGCGGUGUUCAGCCGCAUGAAGUUGAGCAAUAACAGGUCUGUGAUGCCCUUAGAUGUCCAGGGCUGCACGCGCGCUACACUGGAGGAAUCAGCGUGCUGUAACCAUUGCCGAAAGGUAUUGGUAACCCCUUGAAAAUCCUCCGUGAUCGGGAUCGGGAAUUGCAAUUAUUUCCCUUGAACGAGGAAUUCCUAGUAAGUG
rnacentral:rRNA from 1 species